rnacentral:lncRNA from 1 species
UGGAAAUAAGAAUCUUAUAAUUUUGAACGGAAGUGCUGAAUCCAAUUCGCCCGGAAAUGACGUUUUUGUUACUACCGAUUCGUCGAAAAGAAAGAUCCAGGUUGCCUUAGUCAUGGUUUCUUCUUUUGUGGCCGGUUUUUCGGUUUCGUUCCUCAUGUCUUCACUGACUUGGAAAUUCUUGAUUCGUAAAAAAGCAACCGAUGUGCAAGAUGAAGACAACCUUUCUGAUUUGAACAACAGGAAUAGGCUGCAGAUGGUACAGAGGCUGAGGAUGUUUCACGAACGGUAUUACUUGGGACAGCUCACCACUGCAUUAGAAGCUCUUUAAUUAGGGAGUUUUUUUAAAUUUUGGAGCCCAAAAACUCAUUUGAGCUUAUUGCCACAGUAGGACCUCUAAAUAUCUCUGUUUGCUAAAUGUAUAAAUGCUGCUUCUUAGAGUAGAGAAGCAGUUCAAGGCCCAAGAGCCUCUUAAUAAUGUUUGCUAUCAUGGGACAAGCAAGGUUGAAAUUCAGAGACAGAAAAC